rnacentral:misc_RNA from 1 species
GAAUAUCUUAACUUUUAUUGACAAGAAUUAACACGAACAUCCAACAAUUUGCGUUUCUGAUUUCUACAAUCAAUUGAGUGCUGUAGAAAUAGAGCUCAAAAUGAACAAAUCUGACUAGCUAUUGCUUCACCACCAGAGGACUCUUGACAAAGUGCUUGCCAUCUGACCAUACCAAUCUUCCAAAAACAUAAUCUCUAGGCCCAUAUGUUGAAGUACUUUUCAAAGUGACCUGGAAUGUCUUCUCUUCACCACUUCUUUUAAACUUCAAGUUCUUAGGUUUAACAAGAACUGAAACUCCAGGUGGUGCCUUGACAUAAGCGAAGUAUUCGCCAGGAGAUCCAACAUUCUUGACUCUUCGAGUCACUGUUACAGAUUCAUUGAGAUUAGGAACUGUGAUUGAAGGGUAGUUGAAGUCUGCCAAGCUGAAGGACUUGGGACAUGGGUAUGGCUUCCCUAAGAAUAACUUGAUUUGGCUUUGGUUGUACCCUCGGGCACACAAAAAGUUCAAGUAAUCAUUUUCUGUCAAGUCGUAAACUAGCCCUGGAUCCAUUGCUCGGUUUGGACGUAUGUGUCCUGCUCCGUAGUCGAAUGGAGUUGCCUUGAGAUUGGUUGCUGAAUCUAGAAUUGGCUCCAGAUUGUUACCUCUUGUUCUUGCAGAUGUCACGAUUGCAGAUCUGAUAGAAGCAGGACUCCAAUCCGGGUGGAGUGUUUUUAGAAGGCCAGCAAUACCAGAAACAUGAGGGCAAGACAUUGAAGUACCGGAGUCUGUGUUGAAGGAAAUCCUGCGCUUAUCAAAUUCUUCUCCAGAUGGGCUUACUGCUAAACUGAAAGAAGCAAUUAUAUCUACCCCAGGAGCAGUGAUAUCGGGCUUGAGGAUUGAAGGUUCCAUAAUAUUAGGUCCUCUUGAUGAGAAAGCAGCCAUAGAUGGAGCCGGCUUUGUUUCUAACUCUGUCUUUACACGAGUAAUGAAUGCCACAGGAAUCCUGGUCGAGUUGAUGUAAGCAAUAGCAGCUUGACCAUCAGUGAAAUUGACGUGUGCAGCAGGAAGCACGUGAGCAUCAGCUAUAAGUUCAUUGCCAGAAAAUUCAUCAUUAGCCAAAAUCAUUCCAACAGCGCCCGCAAGAAGAGCCUCUUCUCCCUUCUCUACUCUACCAGUUAUCCCUCGAAGGCACACCAAUAUUUUCCCUUUAACCUUCUUAGGAUCAAGUGUUCCAGGCAGACAAAGAGAAGCAUCUCCAGCAGAACUAUCAGCAGCAUUCGCACCUUCACCACUAAUCAGGGGAUAAAACUUUGCAGCUGGCAAGCCCUUUUCUGAAAGACUUGUACCCUUGAGAUGCCUCCGAUUGCCAAGUGCAACGUAGCUUGUGAACUCACGGUCCAAGGUGCUAGCACCAACAGUAAUCAACCAAGGAGCCGAAUUUGUUACAGUAAGUGGGGCUGGUCCUGCAUUGCCAGCUGAGGCAACCACCACAAUGCCCUUCCUUGAAGCAUGGAAGGCACCAAUUGCGAUCGAAUCCUCAAAAAAUUCAGCAGGAGUAUCACCGCCAAGUGAAACCGAUAUCACGUUGACUCCAUCACUUAUUGCAGCAUCAAAAGCGGCCAUAAUAUCAGCAUCAAAGCACUCACCGCUGCCAUUUACCGGCGGCCAGCACACCUUAUAAGCAGCCACACGAGCAUUUGGGGAUCCACCACUGGCUGUCCCAUUUCCAUUUCCAAAAACAUUAGCUCCUGGAACAAAGUUUCCACCUGCUGUUGAGAGGGUAUGAGUUCCAUGCCCUGAAUCAUUGUCCCUUGAAGUGUUGUAAGUUGAGUUUAGAGGGCCAACAAACGCAGCAUAACCUUUGUUGAAGUACCUUCCUCCAAUUAGUUUUCUGUUGCAACGAAAGCCAGCCGUGUCUUGCUGACAGAUUCCUCGCCAAUUGGGUGGGAUUGGACCCAGUCCCUCGUCACUAAAGCUCUUAGACUCAGGCCAAACACCUGAUAAAAAAAACUCUAAUAAAAAUCAUUUUUAAAAA